AGGAAACUAGGUCUGCGAGGAAG
rnacentral:siRNA from 1 species